rnacentral:rRNA from 1 species
GCAUAUCAAUAAGCGGAGGAAAAGAAACCAACAGGGAUUCCCCUAGUAACGGCGAGUGAAGCGGGAACAGCUCAAAUUUGAAAUCUGGCCCUCGGGUCCGAGUUGUAAUUUGCAGAGGAUGCUUUUGGCGCGGUGCCUUCCGAGUUCCCUGGAACGGGACGCCUUAGAGGGUGAGAGCCCCGUACGGUUGGCCACCAAGCCUGUGUAAAGCUCCUUCGACGAGUCGAGUAGUUUGGGAAUGCUGCUCAAAACGGGAGGUAUAUUUCUUCUAAAGCUAAAUACUGGCCAGAGACCGAUAGCGCACAAGUAGAGUGAUCGAAAGAUGAAAAGCACUUUGAAAAGAGGGUUAAAUAGCACGUGAAAUUGUUGAAAGGGAAGGGUUUAUGACCAGACUUUUUCUAGGGGGAUCAUCCGGUGUUCUCACCGGUGCACUUCCCCUAGUUGAGGCCAGCAUCGGUUUCUGCCGGGGGAUAAAAGCUUCGGGAAUGUGGCUCCUUCGGGAGUGUUAUAGCCCGUUGUAUAAUACCCUGGCGGGGACCGAGGUUCGCGCAUUCGCAAGGAUGCUGGCGUAAUGGUUAUUAACCACCCGUCUUGAAACACGGACCAAGGAGUCGAACAUUUGUGCGAGUGUUUGGGUGUUAAACCCUCACGCGUAAUGAAAGUGAACGGAGGUGAGAGCCUUUAGGGGUGCAUCAUCGACCGAUCCUGAUGUCUUCGGAUGGAUUUGAGUAGGAGCAUCACUGUUCGGACCCGAAAGAUGGUGAACUAUGCGUGGAUAGGGUGAAGCCAGAGGAAACUCUGGUGGAGGCUCGCAGCGGUUCUGACGUGCAAAUCGAUCGUCAAAUCUGCGCAUGGGGGCGAAAGACUAAUCGAACCAUCUAGUAGCUGGUUACCGCC